rnacentral:rRNA from 1 species
AACGAACGCUGGCGGCAUGCCUAACACAUGCAAGUCGAACGAGACCUUCGGGGCUAGUGGCGCACGGGUGCGUAACGCGUGGGAACUUGCACUUAGGUACGGAAUAACUCCCCGAAAGGGGUGCGAAUACCGGAUAAUGUCUUCGGACCAAAGAUUUAUCGCCUUUGGCUGGGCCCGCGUUGGAUUAGCUAGUUGGUAGGGUAAAAGCCUACCAAGGCGACGAUGCAUAGCUGGCGUGAGAGGAUGAUCAGCCACACUGGGACUGAGACACGGCCCCGACUCGUACGGGACGGAGCAGUGGGUAAUAUUGGACACUGGACGAAGGCCUGAUCCAGCAAUGCGGCGUAAGUGAUGAAGGCCGUAGGGUUGUAAAGCUCUUUUACCCGGGAUGAUAAUGACAGUACCGGGAGAAUAAGCUCCGGCUAACUCCGUG